rnacentral:rRNA from 1 species
UGCGAAGGGGGCUAGCGUUGCUCGGAAUCACUGGGCGUAAAGCGCACGUAGGCGGCUUCUUAAGUCAGGGGUGAAAUCCUGGAGCUCAACUCCAGAACUGCCUUUGAUACUGAGGAGCUUGAGUCCGGGAGAGGUGAGUGGAACUGCGAGUGUAGAGGUGAAAUUCGUAGAUAUUCGCAAGAACACCAGUGGCGAAGGCGGCUCACUGGCCCGAUACUGACGCUGAGGCACGAAAGCGUGGGGAGCAAACAGG